rnacentral:rRNA from 1 species
UACGGAGGGAGCUAGCGUUAUUCGGAAUUACUGGGCGUAAAGCGCACGUAGGCGGCUUUGUAAGUAAGAGGUGAAAGCCCAGAGCUCAACUCUGGAAUUGCCUUUUAGACUGCAUCGCUUGAAUCAUGGAGAGGUCAGUGGAAUUCCGAGUGUAGAGGUGAAAUUCGUAGAUAUUCGGAGGAACACCAGAAGCGAAGGCGGCUCACUGGCCCGAUACUGACGCUGAGGCGCGAAAGCGUGGGGAGCAAACAGG